rnacentral:rRNA from 1 species
UACGGAGGGGGCUAGCGUUGUUCGGAAUUACUGGGCGUAAAGCGCACGUAGGCGGCUUUGUAAGUUAGAGGUGAAAGCCCGGGGCUCAACUCCGGAAUUGCCUUUAAGACUGCAUCGCUAGAAUUGUGGAGAGGUAAGUGGAAUUCCUGGUGUAGCGGUGAAAUGCGUAGAUAUCAGGAGGAACACCUGUGGUGUAGACAGCUUGCUGGACCAUUUCUGACGCUGAGACACGAAAGCGUGGGUAGCAAACAGG